CAAAGCUGGAAGGAGGGGGGAAAUGUUCCUGUUCCUCCUAGCAGGGGAAACCCCUACUCACAGGUGAUUUGUGAUGUGUUUUCACAGCAAGAGGACACCCAUCUGUGGAAGGGCCUGUGUGAAAGACCAUCCCCCACUCUUCCCCACACAAGUGGUUGGUCUGUGCCUGCAGCUACUCCCUGCUCCAAAGACAAGAAUCUCCCCUCCAGCACCUGCAUGAAAAGACGGAGCCCAACAGAUCUCCCCACGCCCAGGAGGUGCCCACGCUCUGCUCCCUUAUCUCCUCCAGGUGGAGAAGAUGACAGCUUGAAAUUACAUUCCCAAUAAAGAUCAUCUCCCACCUGUGGCUGGUUCAAGGAUUGCACGAAAGAAUAUUCAUGAAAUAAAUGCACCCUGUGUACUCCUGUAGACACAAGAAGCUCAGAUUAAUUCAGAGUGCUGUAGCAUUUUUGAAACAAUACUUGGAUUCUGACAGCAAAUCAUGCAACAGGUGUUGGACAUGCAACAUAAGCACCCAGCUGACCUUGGUUUGUGUGUGUGCAUGGAGGAGAGGAGCUGCUGCAAAAGUUUUCUUGGAAAGUAAAGUUAGCAGCGGGCCAA
rnacentral:lncRNA from 1 species